GCCACGCUCCCACUCGGCCCCGCCCACUUCCCCGAGGGCUCGCCCUCUCCCCUGGCGCCCUCGGGCCCCGCCCGGAGCGGCCGCUGCAGAACGUUGGCCAAUAGUGGGCCGGUAAAGGACGGAGGCGGGGCGAAUGCUAAUCACUUCGCCUUGAGAACCUGGGCGGGAAGCCCGGGCUUGAGGUCCCUCUGAGCUCCUGGCACGCGCUCGCUUCCUCCUGGGGCGCCACUGCUGCGAACCUCUGCUCCCGAGACCCCACUGAGGCUCCGGUCUGCGUCCUAGGGCGCUGUGUAAAAACUACAGUCCCCUCUGUCUCCCUCCUGCGCUCUUGUAUUGGGCAAAGAGCCAAUACUUAGCCCCUACCUUGUGCUCAACAUCCCCUAAUCGACACUAACGCAAAACCUGAGACCCUUACAGUUGCGAGACCAGUGCGCGUCACAGCCGUUCAGCAAACCUCGAAUUUCUGAACUGAAGAUCUUGUUGCCAUUUUGAACAUUUUUCUACAGAGCCUAACUGAUGAAAUUCAGCUGAGAGUUGAAGGGUCCUGGGAUUUCAGGCACACACCACCAUGUAUGUUCUUUACUCUCUUGAACCCUGGGGCAGAAAUGGCAUGCUGCAUACAGACAGCGUCGGCAGAUGUGAGUGACAGCUGAGGUGGUACCGAGCGCUUGCACACAGCCUUGGCACGUGACCUGUGUGUCUCAGCUGGGCCCAACUCUGUUCCCUGCAGCAGCAUUGGGUCCAAACUCUGGCUUUGCCCUUACUGACUGUGCCCCUUGGGUCUUCCCAGUUUUCGGUGUUCUCUUUGGUAUGUUACUUUAACAAUGCAAAGAAACAUGAUUUUCAGGUGUGCUGUAUUUCUGAGCAUGUGCUAUGAUGCCAGCUGUGUUUAGCGCGUGGCUGUUACUGAGUUCAAUCCGAAGCACAGACGGUCUCGCUUGCCUGGGAUCGAAGUGCGCGCACCUGACAUCAGCAGCCAUUGUGUGUACAGGAGCCUGCACAGCCAGGGACCCUAACAUCUGCCAUGAGCUCAGCAUCUUCCCGUCCUAUCAGCCUCGAGCGGGUGAGAAGCCAGCGCGCUAACCUCAGAACCGUUUGCAGUUCCACAGCGUGGUAAGUGGACGAAUUCGGCUGUGACCCUCCGUCCUCCUCCCGCACCAUGGUGGGGGUAACAGGAGAGGAAAACUGCGCCGCCCCCCCCCCCUUAGUCAGUGCCUCCCAGCUACGGUUUAACUGCCUAGGAAGCCGAAGAACCCCGCGCCUGACCCGCUCUUAAGUGGGGAUUUCUGGCCGAGGAUCCAGAUAUUAGGGUUUUUUCUUGUUCUUUUUGUUGCUGUUUAACCGUGAGGUGAUUCUGAUUUUCACUAGGCUUGAGAACCCUGGAAAGCUGUUUUGGGUGUGGUGCCUAGCUAGGUCUUUUGCCAAAAAGGGAUUAACAGCUGGGUGUGGUGUUGCAUCCCUGCACUCCUGGUACUCUGGGAGGCUGAUGCCUGAGGGCUGCAAAUGCUUUCUCAGCAACACUGCCAUGCAGGGGAAGGAGGUGGGCUGGGGAUGCAGCUCCAGGUGCGGGCCCUGGGUUCAAGUUCCAGCACCACAAAUAAUAGUAAUAUGAAAAAUUAAUCACAUUGGUGUGGGAAGUGGCGUCUUCCCAGAGAAGGAACAGACCCGCGCUCUGGGCACCUGAGUCUGCUUGGGUGGCAGGUAAAAUUGUGGGGAGCAGUGGAAUUGUGGUAAAAAUGUAUUAGCAGUAAUAAAAACCAUAAUACCAGCAAAAGAGGGGUGCUGAGGGUUUCCUGUAUGUGUUUCACAUAAUCUGUGCUCACCUUCUUACAUAUGUCACCUCUCUUACCCCAGGGAGCUUGUGAGGUAUAUAUCUAUCUUUAAAUUUUAUUUUAAAGAGAGAAAAACAAAAAUAAAAACAGUAAUAUAGUUUCAAAACGGGGUAAGAAAUUAACAAUGGGCCGGGCAUGGUGGCUCACGUAAUCCCAGCACUUGGGAGGCUGAAGUGGGAGGAUCGUUGUAAGUUCAAGACCAGCUUGGGCUACAAAGUGAGCUCAAGGCCAGCCUGAACUGCAUAGCGAGACCCUGUCUCAAAAAAAAAAAAAAAAGAAAUUAACAGUGGUUAAUAUAUUGCAUAUUGUUGUCUUCAGUGAACUAGAAAAAUUAGUAUAAUUGUAUAUUUAUGUGAAAUACAAGUAGAUAGAUGUUUAUUUUCUUUUUCCUUCAUUUCUCCUUCCUCUUAUCCCAGUUGUUCUUUCCUUGUGAGCAGUUCCUUUCCCUUCCCCAGUAUCUAUCGAAGAUUUUGUAUCUUAGUUUCUUACACUAGGGAGACAAGAUGAUGCUUACCAGGCACAUCUGAUCUAUUUUACUUGUGAGUAUGGCCUCUGUCUGCAUCCAUUUACCUAUGAAAGCCUCAAAUUCAUCCUUCUUUAUAGCUGAGUAGUGCUCCAUUGUAUAAAAACCCAUCUGUGAGGUUAUGUCUGAGGGUGAAGAAACAGGCUUAGGUCAGCCAAGUAGCUCAGCACGUCUUCCCUCUUGUAUUUCCCUGACUUCAGGGCCUGUGCCCACCGCAGGCCUUGCUGUGGGCCUGGCAGCCAGCAUGAACCAUGCACGGGGUCCUGGGCCCGCCAGCUGCAGAGCGGGGUCCCCGUCCACCUCGCCCCUCUUGGAAGUUAAGUGGAAUCUGCAGCUGUGGCGUGGGCCUUGCGUGCAGAGGUCCAGUGCAGGGAAGCCAGAGCCCCAGCUUCCUGCGAGCCAGUAGAGAACUCCGCCUGCAGCCAGUCCCGGUUUCACAGCGCAGCCCGGGGCGCCCCUCGCUCCGCCUGCAGCACCUCUGGGUUCCUGGCAGAGGCAGCUGCAGGUUGCUGAGCAUUGAUUCUGAGCCAGCGUCGAGCUGGGCACUGGCACCGGGAGCCUACGCAGGGAAGGCCAUGAGGACGGAGCAGGGCCUGGGGAGGCCCCAGGCUUGCUGGAUGGCCAAGUGCGAGCCUUGGCACUCCGGGGUUUGCCGCAGGAAAUCGGAACACUUAGCGUUCAAGCGGAGAAAGCUUUGGGGCUGAACCGGGCUGGGAUGCACCCAGCUGCUGGAUAGCUGGAGGGGCAGAGGUCGGAGGGCGCACACCACAGUGGCCAUGAUGUGGGAGUCAGGGUGGCACUUCCACUGCCACUGCAUACUGUGUCCCCCCAAACAGGACCUAGUCUUACAUUAAUUUUUGCUCCAACAGAUGCAGUGGGGCUUAUUUUCAGGGAAUGGCUUAUGUUUUCAUAUGCAACAAUCUACCUUUAUUCAUUUAUUCAUGUACAGAAGUCUACAUUUAUCCACAUACAGGCAUGGCUCCAUCUUCCAGAACAUUGGCGUGAGUCUCCAGACCCCGAGUCCGGCUCGCUGUGCUUGUGGUUCCAUUCCUGGUACAGCCAUUGCCCCAGUCUCGUGGGCAGCGAUCCGGGUCUGCAUGAGGGCUUCGGUCCCAUGGCCUGCUUACAGUACGUGGUGCCAGCACAUAACACACUGAAGGAGGGAGGUGCGCCUUAGCCGCAGCCUUGUCCACCCCUUCCAAGCACGCUUGUGGCUCCUGUGGCACGUCUGGGCUCCCACCCGUCACUGGGCAGUGAGUCUCUGGCUCAUCUGUUUGCACAGGUGUUUAUCUCUUAUCCAGGGGCACCCACUUGGGUAUUUAUAAAUAAUUAUAAUUUAUGUUGUCAUUUAUUUUAAAUAUUAAUGUUAAGCCAGGCAUGGUGGUGCAUGCCUGUAAUCCCAUCACUCGGGAGGCUGAUGCAGGAGGAUUGUUGUAAGUUCAGGACCAGCAUGGGUUACAAAGUGAGCUCCAGGCCAGCUUUAACUGCAUAAUGAGACCCUGUCUCAAAAAGACAAAGAAAAAAAUUAGUAUCAAUAAUAUUUAUAGUUAACUGUAUUAACAUUGCUAUUUUAUGACUUAGUACCUCCGUUGUCUGUUACAGUGUACCUGCUAAAUGCACUGAUAUUUUGACCAUCUUCACUGGGGCUUAUUUUGGGGUAGGGCUUAUAUUAAAAGCAUCUUGGAAAAUC